rnacentral:rRNA from 1 species
GAGUUUGAUUCUGGCUCAGGACAAACGCUGGCGGCGUGCAUAACACAUGCAAGUCGAACGAAAUCUACAUGAUUUAGUGGCGAACGGGUGAGUAACACGUGAGAAACCUGCCUUACACAGAGGGAUAGCCGUUGGAAACGACGAUUAAUACCUCAUGACACCGUGACAUCGCAUGAUGAUGCGGUCAAAGAUUNAUCGGUGUAAGAUGGUCUCGCGCCUGAUUAGCUGGUUGGUGGGGUAACGGCCUACCAAGGCGACGAUCAGUAGCCGAUCUGAGAGGGUGGACGGCCACAUUGGGACUGAGACACGGCCCAAACUCCUACGGGAGGCAGCAGUGGGGAAUUUUGCACAAUGGGGGAAACCCUGAUGCAGCGACGCCGCGUGAACGAAGAAGGCCUUCGGGUUGUAAAGUUCUGUUCCUUGGUGAAGNUANGGACANAACCAAGAAGAAG